AGAGUUUGAUCAUGGCUCAGAACGAACGCUGGCGGCAGGCUUAACACAUGCAAGUCGAACGCAUGCAGCAAUGCAUGAGUGGCGCACGGGUGAGUAACACGUGGAUAUCUGCCUUUUGGUUCGGAAUAACCCUGGGAAACUAGGGCUAAUACCGGAUGGUUCCUACGGGAUAAAGAUUUAUCGCCAAAAAGAUGAGUCCG
rnacentral:rRNA from 1 species